rnacentral:lncRNA from 1 species
AACCUCAGUCCAGUCUGUCUACCACCCCAGUAAGGUGGUCCAACCUCAGUCCAGUCUGUCUACCACCCCAGUAAGGUUGUCCAACCUCAGUCCAGUCUGUCUACCACCCCAGUAAGGUUGUCCAACAUCAGUCCAGACGGUCUACCACCCCAGUAAGGUUGUCCAUGUCAUGACUUACGCCGAAGUUGGUCCCUCUCCUUGUUCGGGCAGCGUUCGGCGGUCGAAGUCACCGACCUUCUAGCCUUCAUUGAUCCACUUUUCAUUUUCCAUUGGUUUUGUCUUGUCUUCCAUCACACCUGGUUCCAAUUCCAUCAAUUACAUGUUGUGUAUUUAACCCUCUGUUCC